AUUAAGAGCAUGGUCGUUGGGAAGUUGAGGGGAUGGCGCUAGAAUGCCACUCUGGCUACCACGUCUACUGGGUGUAUGGAUCGUGCUCAUCUGCUCUGAGCCUCGGUUUCCCUAGUUGUAAAUUUUGGAGGCCUCAGUAGAUCCGACGACGUCAUGGGCUUCUGUGAAUAUUUCAUCGGUUAACGUGAAAGGUCUAACACAGUGCCUGGUAGACAGGAAGCGCUAAAUGCAGGGAGAGUCCUGUUGAUUGCAAAAGCAAGACGAUGAUGAUUCCGGAAUAUUCGGUCUUUCCAGAGGCUACAGCUUCAAGCGUCCCCUUGCCACCUGCCAAUCUGUACGGAGCGGAGGCGGACCUUCUCUGAAGCAAUCACGUACGAUGCGUAGACCACGGGACUGGCGUGAACCAACGUGGCUUCGCUCGGCUUCCCCUUCCUAAGUUGCAGACCUUCCUGAUUUAGAUACUAUCCUUAUUUUGGAAUGAUGAAAGCAAGGCUCAUAGAGGAGAAGAAAGUUGCUGGAAAACACCCAUUGAGUAAGUGGCAAAGCUGGGAGUUGAACACAAGUGCUUUGGCCCCAUAGCCUGGCUUUUGACCCCCCUGCCAUACGAGGUCACGAUAAACCAAGCCAUGCCGAUCCUAGCGACAGAGCCAGAUUCCACCAGCCACUGGGAAGAACCAACGAUGUCCUGUUAGAGCCCAGUCAAUUUUCUACUUAGUAUUCCUCAGUUGUCAUACAAUACUAUUUUCCCCUUUUUUUUAAAAUAAAGGCAUCAUCUAUCAAAACUUUAA